AGUACUAGUUAUAGUUUAUUUGAACUAUAUAAUAUAGACUUAAAGGGAUAAUCAUAGAUACUAUAGCUAUUAAUAAUAAUAGGUUACUAAUAAAUAUUAUAUUAAUAAUAUUUUAAUACCUAAAGUAAACUUUUGAUAAAAUACUAAGUGAAUUGAAACAUCUAAUUAACUUAAGGAAAAUAAAUCAAUAGAGAUAUUAUGAGUAUUGGUGAGAGAAAAUAAUAUAAUCUAAUAAGUAUUAUGUAAUAAUAUUAUGUAAGAAUAUAGGACUACAAGUUCUAAGAUUAAAUAUUAUUAAUAAGCAAAAAUAGUACCGUAAGGGAAAGUAAUAAAUGGUUAUUCUACAAGCAAUUAAAUAUUAAUUUAUUAAUUAAUAAAUAAUGUACCUUUUGUAUAAUGGGUCAGCAAGUUAUUAAUAAUUAGCAAAAUAAUAUAUAUUAUAAAUAAUUUAAAUAAUUAAAUAUUGUAUAAUUUAGUUAAUGUUAAUUGACCCGAAAGCAGAUGAUCUUAUCAUGAUCAAAUGAAUAAAAAUUAAUAUAAUUAAAUAUAUUAAUUAAUCGAUUGUACAGGUUGAUGUUGCAAUAUCAUCUGAUGAAUUGUGAUAAGUUGAGAAAGUCAAAUCUGAUCUGCAGAUAGCUGGUUCUCCAUGAAAUAUAUGUUAGUAUAGUCUAAUAAAAAUAAAAAUUAUAAUUAUAUGGUACAGCACUUAAUAUAAAUAUUAAUAUUAUAUAUUAUAUUUUAUAUAUGUAUUUUAUGUAUAUAUUAUAUAGUAUGUAUUUUAUUAAUAAUUGGGGGACGUAAUGUUUUAUCAAUGAUAUUAAAUCUCAGAAUAUAUAAUUAUAAAUUAUUAGAAUCAGAUUAUAUGCGAUAAGGUAUAUAAUCGAAAAGGAAACAGCCUAGAUUAAUUAUAAAGUUCUUAAUAGAUAUUAAGUGAAAUUAAUAUGAAUAUAUUAUAACUCAAUUAGUAAAUGGAUUUGACAAUAAUCAGUUUUUAAUGAACAUGUAACAAUGCACUAAUUAAAUAUAGUAUAUCUAUAUAUAAAUAAUAUGUUAAACCAUUAAUAUUUAUAUUAAUGAUCAUAGAUAAUAUACGGAUCUAAAUAUCUAACUGAAUAAUUGAAUAUAUUUAUAAAUUAAUAAGUAUAAAUAUAUGGUAAUGGAGCAUUUAAUGAAGAUAAUAUUAAUGAAUCUAAUUAAUAUUUUAAGAUGUAAUUAAAUAGAGAAUGCUGACAUGAGUAACGAUAAAAAGGUCUAAACCUUUUCACCUAAUGUAUAAGGUUUUACUAUAAAAGCGGCCCUUAAAUAAAUUAUUUAAGAAUAAUAUAUGAUAGGUUAAACUAUAUAAUAUAAAAACUAUAUAAUAAUAUAUUAUAAACAUAUAUAUUUAGUUCAAGAAGUAGAUAUUAUAUAUGUACCGUAAUGAAGACCGACACAGGUAUAUUAGUAGAGAAUAUGAAGGUGAAUUAGAUAAUUAAGGAUAAGGAACUCGGCAAAAAGAGUUAAUAGAUUAGUUAAUAACAUUUAAAGACAAGGUUGUACAACUGUUUACUAAAAACAUAGCACUUUGCUAAUAAUUUAUUAGUCGUAUAAGGUGUGAACUCUGCUCCAUGUUUAAUUGAUAAUAUUAAUUGAUGUUUAGUUAAUUAAUUAAUAAUUUUAAAU
rnacentral:rRNA from 1 species